rnacentral:SRP_RNA from 1 species
GUGAAGGUUGCCUGGACAAAUGCCGCGCUAAUCCGGUCAGGUUCGGAAGAAAGCAGCCGUAACGAUUGGUAAUUGGGUCAGCGCAGCCUUCAUUUU